UUCUUCUUCUUCUUCUUCUUCUUCUUCUUCUUCUUCUUCUUCUUCUUCUUCUUCUUCUUCUUCUUCUUCUUUUCUGUUUUUCAAGACAAGGUUUCUCUGUAUAGCCCUGGCUGUCCUGGAACUCACUCUGUAGACCAGGCUGGCCUCAAAUGCAGAGAUCCUCCUGCCUCUGCCUCUCCAGUACUGGGAUUAAAGGUGUGCACUGCCACCACCACCUGGCUCUGGAUCUUCUUUUUAUGUUGUGGUUUUGCUUUAUAAAACAGUUUUAUGUAGGCCAGGUGUGGUGGGUGGAAAGUAAUGAAGAACUAGAAGAACAUCACCAUGAUUUAAAAAUAUACUUAAAAACAACAACAACUCAGGCUGGUCUAAGUUUACUAUGUAACCACAGAUGACUUCAAAUCUAUGAUCCUCCUGCCUCCACUUCUCAAAUGCUGGCACACUCAGAGCUACUUUCAUACAAGGUAAGCAAAUGUUCUACCAGACAAUCUACAUCCUAGGUCUUCCUAAAGCCGAAUUCCAUUACAGUCCUAGGAAAUUACAGCAAGUCUUUCUCUGUCCCACCUGCCAGCUCCCAAAUCACGACAAAGAGACUUAUUAUUAAUUGUGAAAGCUCAGGCUUGUUUGUAGCUAGCUCUUAGAUUAACCCAUUUUUAUUAAUCUAUGUGCUGUCACAUGGCUUGUGGCUGUUACCUCCCCUCCUGCAUGUCUUGCUUGUUCUCUGCCUUUCAGCAUCUCCAUCUUCUUCCCAGCAUUCUCUCUGCUCCCAAAAUCCUGCCUAAGCUAUUGGCCAUUUAGCUUUUUAUUAAACCAGUCACAGUGACGCAUCUUCACACAGUGUAAAGGAAUAUUCCACAACAGGAAAUGCCAUGUUGACAGAGAGUGAGAAUAAGCAUAUCAAGCUUCCUGACUACAGACGGGAUUUACCAGCUACCUUCACCCUCUUGCUGCCACAGCCACUAGUCACUCGAGCAGUCAUGCCAUCCCAUCAUGCCACCACCCCAGCCUAGUUCAUGGGUUCUAUACAGAGUGAUGUUGUUUAUACCAGCAUUGGACAUGGAAACAUCUGGAAUUCUUCUAAAAUGUAACUAAUGCACUAAUCCAUCUUUGGGCCUGCCUCCCACAGUGAGUGGUCCUGUGGAUACACCCCACUCCUGCCCUGUAAUAGUCUCCUUCCUCUUUCAUCCGAGUCCAUUUUAUACACAGCCACUUCACGCUGUUAGCACUUCCACUACACGUUGGUAAGAUGUAGAAAUACAACUCAUGAAAAUAACAAUAUACCAAUAUUUUAGAGAGAUUUUGUUUUGUUUUGUUUUAAUUUGAGACAGGGUCUCCCUGUAUGACCCUGGCUGGCCUGGAAUGCACACUGUAGACCAGGCUGGCCCUAAGCUUGUUGCUGUACACUGCUUCGGCCGUGCUGAGAUUACAGGCAUGAACCAUCGUGUUAAAGUGCCCUGCUAAAGAUGGAAAUAUGCGUACUUAGAGUCACAUGCCACAUAUUCUGAAUUUUCUGAACAGGUUUAAGUUAGAAAACAAGGUAAGGUGGGAGAUGGGCCUCGUUCAUCCCCGGCAGUCAUAAAAUAGGGAGUUGUAAGGCUUUUAGGGUAGGUGUGGUUUGAGCGGAGAUCUGUUUCAGUGUGGGAGUCUCCACAGCACCCCCACACCUGUAAUGGGGUUCAGUGAAGUACUACUCAGGCAGGGUGUGUUUGUUUCAGGUCCCGUUAUGUGUGGCAUGUAAGAAGCCACAUCAGACAAUGGUUGAGCAUGAGGACAGAAGAUCCGGGUAAAGUGCUGGUGCCAGGACUUGCUGACUGCUGUUUGUUACAAUAUCAGAAGGCUGAUGACAUCAAGGCACCAAGCUGUCACAGAGAAGAGAGAGAUCGGAGGACUGUACCAGAGACUCCAGAAAUAGAUUCAUGUAAUGAUAAUGAUACAAAGGCAAUUCAGUGGAGGAAGAAGUCUUUUCAACAUGCAUGUUUUUGGGAUAAUUUAACCUCUGUGAAAGAAAAAAACCUGACACAUAAAUUCACACCUUACCAAAAAGCUAACUCAAGACUAUACACUUAAGAGCAAAAUGUAAAACUCGCCGGGCGGUGGUGGCGCACGCCUUUAAUCCCAGCACUCGGGAGGCAGAGGCAGGCGGAUCUCUGUGAGUUCGAGGCCAGCCUGGUCUACAGCGCGAGAUCCAGGAAAGGCGCAAAGCUACACAGAGAAACCCUGUCUCGAAAAACCAA